GCAAGUCGAGCGCACUCUUCGGAGUGAGCGGCGGACGGGUGAGUAACGUGUGGGAACGUGCCUUGGGGUAAGGAAUAACAGCUGGAAACGGCUGCUAAUACCUUAUGAUGUCUACGGACCAAAGAUUUAUCGCCCUAAGAUCGGCCCGCAUUGGAUUAGCUAGUUGGAGAGGUAACGGCUCACCAAGGCUACGAUCCAUACCUGGUUUGAGAGGAUGAUC
rnacentral:rRNA from 1 species